rnacentral:tRNA from 1 species
AAAAAGAUAAGCUAAAUUUAAGCUUUUGGGUUCAUACCCCAACAAUAAAGAUAAAUCUUUUCUUUUUA